UACGGAGGGUGCAAGCGUUAUCCGGAUUCACUGGGUUUAAAGGGUGCGUAGGUGGGCAAGUAAGUCAGUGGUGAAAUCUCCGGGCUUAACCCGGAAACUGCCAUUGAUACUAUCUGUCUUGAAUACCGUGGAGGUGAGCGGAAUAUGUCAUGUAGCGGUGAAAUGCUUAGAUAUGACAUAGAACACCAAUUGCGAAGGCAGCUCGCUACACGAAUAUUGACUCUGAGGCACGAAAGCGUGGGGAUCAAACAGG
rnacentral:rRNA from 1 species